rnacentral:lncRNA from 1 species
GGCGGCGCGGGAGUGCCACCUGAUUCACUGCACUUGGAACCAGAUGAUGUUGGGCUCUUUCCAGAAGUCAAAUCCUUCCUGGGAGGAUGAAGAUCUGCCAGCUCUGAGGAUUCUGGCUGGGAAGAAAAAGAGCCUCAAGCUUUGAAGGCCAUUCCCAUGGUAGACAGAGCUGAUGUGAAAAGUGGCCAUCCUGUUGCCCCAGGCACAUGACCUUCUGAAGUGACCAGGCUGAAAGGGAAGCAAUACUCGUGUUUGGUUCUAAAGAGUGGUGAGUCAGAAGAGACGUCAGGCAGCAAGCGACUUGGGCCAUGGCCUCUGACCUAGACUUCUCACCUCCGGAGGUGCCCGAGCCCACUUUCCUGGAGAACCUGCUACGGUACGGACUCUUCCUGGGAGCCAUCUUCCAGCUCAUCUGUGUGCUGGCCAUCAUCGUACCCAUUCCCAAGUCCCACGAGGCGGAGGCUGAACCGUCUGAGCCCAGAAGUGCUGAGGUGACGAGGAAGCCCAAGGCUGCUGUUCCUUCUGUGAACAAGAGGCCCAAGAAAGAGACUAAGAAGAAGCGGUAGAAGAGGAGGCCUGAGGAGCUGGGCGGGCAGGGAGAGGGUCUUGGGGACAGCCCUCCUGGGAAUCUACAUUGUGUUCCCCCGCAUUCCAGGCUCAGGGUCUGAGGAGGCUGUGACGCCCUAUGACCGCAGAGAUCUAGACAGUCGUAACAGUCCCCAGGCUCCAGCUGGGCAAUCCACCACUUCCUCUUCCUUCUGCUUCUGUGACGGUUUAGAGUCAAGGGGGCUGAAACACACUGUGAGCAUAGACUGUAUUAGGUUUGUUCAGAAGCCGGGUCAGCUCACAGAGUCACAUUUUCUUGCUUAGUCAUGUGUCCCUCCUUGAGUUGCCCCCUCCUUGUGGGUUUACACUACAUUUGGGAGUCAUUGUCUAAUGCUGACAAGCACACCCUCUCCCAUUAUUUGUGCACUACAGAUCUCCUCCUGAUCAGUCACCUUUGUUGCUGCUGUGUAGACAGAGCCAGGCCUCACCUGUUUGUUUAGGCCAAGAUGCCAUGGACAUGCAGCGUUAGUGAUCCCACUAGCUGUGACAGCCAGGCCCAGAAAAUGCCUGGCGUGAGAGCCAGCAGACAGCCAGGCCAGGGUAGGCAGUGCCUGCUUCUGCUCCAUCAGGUGCAGGGGAUUUGGCUGAAGGCGUGCAUAUUUCCUGGGCACAAACUUCCUGAGCCUCUGAAAUGGGAGGCUCGUCAAUUUCAGACCAACCUCUUUUCAACCCAUCAUAGCACGUUCAAGGUGUGCCUUUUACUUCUACCUGUACAUCCCCCAUCCCUUCAAUUCUUUCAUUCCCUGACCAGUGAGAGGGUUCCUGGGGGAAGUAUGGUGAAUAAACUGAC